rnacentral:sRNA from 1 species
GCGAUGAGCUGAAUUGUGUAAGUCGAUUGACACGCCCUAUAAGGGAAUGCAUGAAUGUGGCAUGCAGUCAGUCGCCUCAAUGCGAGAAAGGGCACUUUUAUUAAAGUGCCCU